ensembl:snRNA U6 U6 spliceosomal RNA
CAGUUUUGAUGCUUGCAGCUCAUAUACUAAAACUAGAACAAUGUGGAAAAGAUUAGCAUGGCCCCUGUACAAGAAUAACACAAAUUCAUGAAGAUUUCUAUAUAAAU